UACGUAGGGGGCAAGCGUUGUCCGGAAUCAUUGGGCGUAAAGAGCGUGUAGGCGGUUCGGUAAGUCGGCUGUGAAAGUCCAGGGCUCAACCCUGGGAUGCCGGUCGAUACUGCCGGACUAGAGUUCGGAAGAGGCGAGUGGAAUUCCCGGUGUAGCGGUGAAAUGCGCAGAUAUCGGGAGGAACACCCUAGUGGACGGAAG
rnacentral:rRNA from 1 species